CAGCGUUUUAACAGCUAAAACAACAGCUCAGCAAUAACGGUCAAUUCGUACCACCCUUAUCCCCAAAUACAAAUUUCAAAACACUCUUCAAAAUUCCUCAAAUGCCCCCUCUGUUCCAAUGCCCCCUCUGUUCCCCCAAAAAAUAGUCCAAAAAUCUCCUAUAAAUACCCAAGAACAAGAGUUAAGGAGGGGGAUUUCUUCGGGGAAAACUUGGAGAUUCUGGAGGAGCAUUCCUCUAAUCUCACGUAACCGAGAAAUUCGUUGAAUUCAAGCUAAAUUCUGAUUUUUGAAGUCGUCUUUGUCAUCUCGUCGUCUCGGUUCCUGCGUCUAAAAAGGACAAAAGCACUUGUUGGUAUACACCAAUAUACACCACAUAUAUGGGCUUUAAAGGAUAAAAUCACCGGCUGGUAUACACCAAUAUAUGCCACAUAUAUGGGCUUUACAGGACAAAAGUGGCUGGAAUAUGCUCAUACAUGAUGCCUAAUGAAACUGGAAGAAAGUCUACAAUUUUUAUACACCGAUAUACAGAAAAACGCAUGCAAAAGAGCUUUAAUAUAUAGUUGAUAUACAUGCAGGAUAGUGGACCUAAAUUCCAUAAUAUGGGAAGCCCAAAGACUGGGCAACUUAUGGGCCAAAAAGGGGCCAACUCUAACUUUUAAUAUAUUAUUCUCUUAUGAUUUGCAAUUUAUACUUAUUUAUUUAUAUUA